GGGUCCUUAGACAAAGUAACAUCGCUUGGUAGCGAAACGAUAUCUAAAAUCGUCAUCGUCUCAACGAUAACGACAAACAUUUCUUAGACAAAGUAACAUCGCAAUCGUUAUCGUUGUGUCGAAUCGAUUGUUCGCUAAAAAGCAAAAAUAUUGUUUAUGGUAACGAAAAUUUAGCUGUCAGUGUCACUCAAGAAGUUCAAAUCGGAUUAUUCCCGCGAGUUAUUACUGUUUUCGAAUUUUACUGAUAAGAAUAAGUGAGUUGUUGGCGAUCGCCGUACUUCGUGAGGGUGAUGAUAUCACGGUCAGCGACGUUGGAGUGCUGGGUGACGUCACGGGAUGGGCACUGUGGACGCCGCGCCGGUGGGCUUCAAGUGGUUGUGCUGCGAUGUCCUUAGCCCAGACGUAAAUAUCCGAAAACUGCUGGGCUCAAGUGCUUCCCAAGAGAAAUAUGACUUUAUAAGUUCAAUUUCGAACUAGCCCUCGCAUAAGACAGUCCACGUUAUUUCUAUGAUAGUGAUGAAACAUGGAAUCAAGAGUGCGAACAAGUUCCCAACAAUUGUCAAUGCUGCUUGAGGAUAUAGCAAAUCAUGGUGCCCGGCGAGGCCUCUUGCUGCAUCACUAGGUUGGGUACAGUCAGACCGACUGUGGACUGAACUGACAAACAUAUUGAAUGCUGUUGGUGGUGGUGGCAGCAAGACUACAGACAAGUGAUAAAAAGCGUGAUCCGCGGUUGAGAUCGCCAGCGACACCGCAGUCUGCUGUUUCUCCCGGCCCUCGUUUGAGCGACCCCCUUCGAGAUAGCGGCAAGCGAGUAGCUAAAAAGCUAAGAGCACACAGCACCUGAAAAUUAUAAUAAUACAGAUUUAGA